GAUGAACGCUGGCGGCGUGCUUAACACAUGCAAGUCGAACGAAGCAUUUGCGACAGAUUUUUUCGGAAUGAAGUUGCUUAUGACUGAGUGGUGGACGGGUGAGUAACGCGUGGGUAACCUGCCUUGUACUGGGGGAUAGCAGCUGGAAACGGCUGGUAAUACCGCAUAAGCGCACAAUGUUGCAUGACAUGGUGUGAAAAACUCCGGUGGUAUAAGAUGGACCCGCGUCUGAUUAGCUAGUUGGUGAGAUAACAGCCCACCAAGGCGACGAUCAGUAGCCGACCUGAGAGGGUGACCGGCCACAUUGGGACUGAGACACGGCCCAGACUCCUACGGGAGGCAGCAGUGGGGAAUAUUGCACAAUGGAGGAAACUCUGAUGCAGCGACGCCGCGUGAGUGAAGAAGUAAUUCGUUAUGUAAAGCUCUAUCAGCAGGGAAGAUAGUGACGGUACCUGACUAAGAAGCUCCGGCUAAAUACGUG
rnacentral:rRNA from 1 species